rnacentral:tRNA from 1 species
UCCUGGUUAGCUUAGUUGGUAUUGCGCUCCACUGGAAGUGGAGAGGUCUCGGGUUCGAUACCCGGACCAGGCG